CGACGAUGCGUAGGGGUUCUGAGAGGAAGGUCCCCCACACUGGUACUGAGACACGGACCAGACUCCUACGGGAGGCAGCAGUGAGGAAUAUUGGUCAAUGGGAGAGAUCCUGAACCAGCCAAGCCGCGUGAGGGAAGACGGCCCUAUGGGUUGUAAACCUCUUUUGUCGGAGAACAAAACCCGGGACGUGUCCCGGACUGCGUGUAUCCGAAGAAAAAGCAUCGGCUAACUCCGUGCCAGCAGCCGCGGUAAUACGGAGGAUGCGAGCGUUAUCCGGAUUUAUUGGGUUUAAAGGGUGCGUAGGCGGUCCGUUAAGUCAGCGGUAAAAUUGCGGGGCUCAACCCCGUCGAGCCGUUGAAACUGGCAGACUUGAGUUGGCGAGAAGUACGCGGAAUGCGCGGUGUAGCGGUGAAAUGCAUAGAUAUCGCGCAGAACUCCGAUUGCGAAGGCAGCGUACCGGCGCCAGACUGACGCUGAGGCACGAAAGCGUGGGGAUCGAACAGGAUUAGAUACCCUGGUAGUCCACGCAGUAAACGAUGAAUGCUGGUUGUCCGGGUCGAAUGAGAUCUGG
rnacentral:rRNA from 1 species